AAUAAAAUAAUAUUGUCUGCUUAAAUCCUUAGAUCCUAUACUUUAUUAUGUUACAAAUUUAAUAAAUGGAAUUAUUAUAGCAGUCGUAUAGUAGAAGUUAUUGUAGUUUACGUUUCGGCAACACCGUGAACUGAAAAAAUGAAUGAAUUCUAUUGAACAAAAUGGCGUUUGUUUACAUUUGUGGUUUGAUGAUAAAGAAGGAUUGAAUAACUUUUAAGCUAGCUUUUUUUUAUAUCGUAGAAGUUACUGCGUAAUUAUGGUGAAUACUUGUGUUGUAAGAGGUUGUAAGCAAGAAUCCUAUCCAGGUUGUGAAAUAUCCUUUCAUAGGAUUCCAGUUAAUAAAGAGUGGAGGGCCUUGUGGGUUGAUGCCAUGAACCUUGACACUAAUGUGACAAAAACUGCAUGUGUUUGUAGCUUACAUUUUACUGAUGAUGCGUAUUUAACAGUAGCUAAGAAUAAGUCAAAGCCACAAGCAGUUCCUUCAGUAUUGCCUAAGAUAGUUCCAGAAAGCAAAAAAUUUACAGUUCUGCGUAUUCAAAAGUUGAAAGGAGGAUCUUUUGUACAUACUUCAUAUUCUAGUCAUAUCACAGUAGUAGGAACUUCUUAUGAACGAAGAGGACCUUCUAGUAAACGGGAUGAUGUAGAAAUGUCUGGUGAACCGCCCAAUAAAAAAAACAAAAUGGAAGAAUCAAGCAAUAAAUAUUAUAUAUUGGUUA
rnacentral:lncRNA from 1 species